rnacentral:rRNA from 1 species
GACGAACGCUGGCGGCGUGCUUAACACAUGCAAGUCGAACGGAAAGGCCCUGCUUGCGGUGUACUCGAGUGGCGAACGGGUGAGUAACACGUGGGUGAACUGCCCUUCACUUCGGGAUAAGCCGGGGAAACUGGGUCUAAUACCGGAUAGGUGCCAUUGUUAUUGUGUUGGUUGUAGAGUUUUUUGGGUGUAGGAUGAGCUCGCGGCCUAUCGGCUUGUUGGUUGGUUAAUGGCCUACCGAGGCGGCGACCGGUGGCCGGCCUGGGAGGGUGGACGGCCACAGUGGGACCGAGAUUCGGCCCAGACGCCGACGGGGGGAAGCAGGGGGGAAGAGUGCACAACGGGCGCAGGCCCGAUGCAGCGACGCCGCGGGGGGGAUGACUGUCUUCGUGUUGCAAACUUCGUUCGCUCGGGACGAAGCUUGUUGUGACGGUACCUAGAUAAGAAGCACCGGCUAACUACGUG